rnacentral:rRNA from 1 species
CGUAGGGUCCAAGCGUUGUCCGGAUUUACUGGGUUUAAAGGGUGCGUAGGCGGCUGUUUAAGUCGGCAAUGAAAUGCAGGGGCUCAACCUUAUGCGCUGUUGCCGAAACUGGACGGCUAGAGAGUAGAAGAGGCAGCUGGAAUAAGUGGUGUAGCGGUGAAAUGCGUAGAGAUCACUUAGAACACCGAUUGCGAAGGCAGGUUGCUGGUCUACUUCUGACGCUGAGGCACGGAGGCAUGGGGAUCAAACAGGAUUAGAUACCCUGGUAGUCCAUGCAGUAAACGAUGGAUACUAGCUAUUUGGCGCGCAGGCGUUGAGUGGCCAAGCGAAAGUGAUAAGUAUCCCACCUGGGGAGUACGCCCGCAAGGGUG